UACGAAGGGGGCUAGCGUUGCUCGGAAUUACUGGGCGUAAAGCGCUCGUAGGCGGAUUGUUAAGUCGGGGGUGAAAUCCUGGAGCUCAACUCCAGAACUGCCUUCGAUACUGGCGAUCUAGAGUCCGGGAGAGGUGAGUGGAACUGCGAGUGUAGAGGUGAAAUUCGUAGAUAUUCGCAAGAACACCAGUGGCGAAGGCGGCUCACUGGCCCGGUACUGACGCUGAGGUGCGAAAGCGUGGGGAGCAAACAGG
rnacentral:rRNA from 1 species